rnacentral:rRNA from 1 species
CCCUUAGAUGUCCUGGGCCGCACGCGCGUUACACUGAUGCAUUCAACGAGCAUAUAACCUUGGCCGAGAGGCCUGGGUAAUCUUGUUAACAUGCAUCGUGAUAGGGAUAGAUUAUUGCAAUUAUUAAUCUUGAACGAGGAAUUCCUAGUAAUCGCAGUUCGUCAAACUGCAAUGAUUACGUCCCUGCCCUUUGUACACACCGCCCGUCGCACCUACCGAUUGAAUGGUCCGGUGAGGACUCGGGAUUGUGGUUUAGCUCCUUCAUUGGGGCCUGACUGCGAGAACUUGUCCGAACCUUAUCAUUUAGAGGAAGGUGAAGUCGUAACA